rnacentral:miRNA from 1 species
UGUGGCUGUGUGGGUUCCGG